rnacentral:rRNA from 1 species
AGAGAACGCUGGCGGUAGGCCUAACACAUGCAAGUCGAACGGCAGCACAGGAGAGCUUGCUCUCUGGGUGGCGAGUGGCGGACGGGUGAGGAAUACAUCGGAAUCUACUCUGUCGUGGGGGAUAACGUAGGGAAACUUACGCUAAUACCGCAUACGACCUACGGGUGAAAGCAGGGGAUCUUCGGACCUUGCGCGAUUGAAUGAGCCGAUGUCGGAUUAGCUCGUUGGCGGGGUAAAGGCCCACCAAGGCGACGAUCCGUAGCUGGUCUGAGAGGAUGAUCAGCCACACUGGAACUGAGACACGGUCCAGACUCCUACGGGAGGCAGCAGUGGGGAAUAUUGGACAAUGGGCGCAAGCCUGAUCCAGCCAUGCCGCGUGGGUGAAGAAGGCCUUCGGGUUGUAAAGCCCUUUUGUUGGGAAAGAAAUCCAGCUGGCUAAUACCCGGUUGGGAUGACGGUACCCAAAGAAUAAGCACCGGCUAACUUCGUGCCAGCCGCCGCGGUAA